AUGAUGGCGGCCGGAGCGGGGAGCCGCCCCCAGGGGGAGCGGGGUAGGCACAGCGGUGGCCGCUGUGGCAGCGACGGCGACCGCGGCUUUCCGGAGAGCCCUCGGAGGGAUCGAAGGGCGGUUUGUCGGGGAGUACCCCACCCCGGCGCCGGCAGCCAACUCAGGCGGCAACGGCAGGCACUUUCGCCUACCGGCCACACUUCCGACUUCCGGCCGCCCUGGAGCCACGCCCCCCUCACCCACUCGUCUGCCAAGGACGGCCGCGGGGCGGGGCGGGAGAAGGAGGCCCAAGAAGACAAGAUUCAUUUUCAUGUUUCCUCUGAUUUUUGGAUGACUUCUAGCACUUAGCAAGUGCUCUCUCUCUACAAAGCAAAGCUGACAAGCAAUUCCAUUGGCUUAUACAUGGAUUAUCACUCAAAAUCUAUUUACAUAUUGCUCAUUUUUGUAAGAGAGUAAUCUAAUAAAACCAAACCCCAAAUAAUAUACCUAAAUGAA
rnacentral:lncRNA from 1 species